GUAGGGAAUCUUCCGCAAUGGACGAAAGUCUGACGGAGCAACGCCGCGUGAGUGAUGACGGCCUUCGGGUUGUAAAGCUCUGUGAUCGGGGACGAAUGGCUGGUAUGCUAAUACCAUAUCAGAGUGACGGUACCCGAAUAGCAAGCCACGGCUAACUACGUGCCAGCAGCCGCGGUAAUACGGAGGUGGCAAGCGUUGUCCGGAAUUAUUGGGCGUAAAGUGCGCGCAGGAGGCUUCUUAAGUCCAUCUUAAAAGUGCGGGGCUUAACCCAGUGAUGGGAUGGAAACUGGGAGGCUGGAGUAUCGGAGAGGAAAGUGGAAUUCCUAGUGUAGCGGUGAAAUGCGUAGAGAUUAGGAAGAACACCGGUGGCGAAGGCGACUUUCUGGACGACAACUGACGCUGAGGCGCGAAAGCGUGGGGAGCAAACAGGAUUAGAAACCCUGGUAGUCC
rnacentral:rRNA from 1 species